rnacentral:rRNA from 1 species
AACGUAGGAGACAAACGUUAUCCGGAGUUACUGGGCGUAAAGGGCGUGUAGGUGGUUUCGUAAGUCUGGCGUGAAAUAUCUCGGCUCAACCCUGGAAUGCCGGUGGAUACUGCCGGGCUAGAGUCCGGAAGAGGCGAGUGGAAUUCCUGGUGUAGCGGUGAAAUGCGCAGAUAUCAGGAGGAACACCGAUGGCGAAGGCAGCUCGCUGGGACGGUACUGACGCUGAGACGCGAAAGCGUGGGGAGCAAACAGG